CCUCGUGAUGAUGUGCGGCUU
rnacentral:miRNA from 1 species